GACGAAGGUGGCGAGCGUUGUUCGGAAUCACUGGGCAUAAAGCGCACGUAGGCGGCGGCGUAAGUUGGAUGUGAAAUCCCUCGGCUUAACCGGGGAACUGCGUCUGAUACUGGAUGGCUUGAGUUUGGGAGAGGGAUGCGGAAUUCCAGGUGUAGCGGUGAAAUGCGUAGAUAUCUGGAGGAACACCGGUGGCGAAGGCGGCAUCCUGGACCAACACUGACGCUGAGUGAGCGAAAGCCAGGGGAGCAAACGGG
rnacentral:rRNA from 1 species